rnacentral:lncRNA from 1 species
CGGCAUGGGAUCAUCCUACAUGAUUUCUUUGCUCUGUAUUAGUUAACUAAUUGGACACUGAGCCUCAUGUAGCCCAAGCUGGCCUCGAACUCUUUGAACUUCUGAUCCUCCUGUCUCCACACCCUAAGCGCUAGAAUGACAGUGAUUUCUUUGUCUAAGCACCAGAAGAGGGCACCGAAGCCAGUAUCCUCAUCUGCUGAUGGGCUUGUCUGUGGCUCCUGCCAGUGCCACCUCCUGGGGCUCAGCUCCAGGGCCCCUGGCAAUGCUUGGAUGCCGGCCACCCACCCAUUUCCUUCCCCUGCAUGAAGACUGCUGGGUCCAGGCUCAGAUACAAACUCAGGUUCUCUCUCAGGCCACUGCAAAGGUCCCAGCGCACUGGCCUGCUUCUUGUCUCAUAUCUGCCAGCCCCCAAAUUUACCAAUCAAAAAGCAAUUUCUUGGAGGCUGGAGAGAAUGCUCAGUGGUUAAGAGCACUAGCUUCUCUUGCAGAGGAUCUGAGUUCUAUUUCCAGGAUCAACAUGACAGCUCACAACCAUCUGCAGCUACUGUUCCGGGGGAAUCUGACGCCAUCUUC